rnacentral:rRNA from 1 species
GUGGGGAAUCUUGCGCAAUGGGCGAAAGCCUGACGCAGCCAUGCCGCGUGAAUGAUGAAGGUCUUAGGAUUGUAAAAUUCUUUCACCGGGGACGAUAAUGACGGUACCCGGAGAAGAAGCUCCGGCUAACUUCGUGCCAGCAGCCGCGGUAAUACGAAGGGGGCUAGCGUUGCUCGGAAUUACUUGGCGUAAAGGGCGCGUAGGCGGACAGCUUAGUCAGAGGUGAAAGCCCAGGGCUCAACCUUGGAAUUGCCUUUGAUACUGGCUGUCUUGAGUUUGGGAGAGGUGAGUGGAACUCCGAGUGUAGAGGUGAAAUUCGUAGAUAUUCGGAAGAACACCAGUGGCGAAGGCGACUCACUGGCCCAAUACUGACGCUGAGGCGCGAAAGCGUGGGGAGCAAACAGGAUUAGAUACCCGUGUAGUCC